rnacentral:rRNA from 1 species
CAGCCACGGCUAACUUCGUGCCAGCAGCCGCGGUAAUACGAAGGUGGCAAGCGUUGUUCGGAUUCACUGGGCGUACAGGGAGCGUAGGCGGUUGGGUAAGCCCUCCGUGAAAUCUCCGGGCCUAACCCGGAAAGUGCAGAGGGGACUGCUCGGCUAGAGGAUGGGAGAGGAGCGCGGAAUUCCCGGUGUAGCGGUGAAAUGCGUAGAGAUCGGGAGGAAGGCCGGUGGCGAAGGCGGCGCUCUGGAACAUUUCUGACGCUGAGGCUCGAAAGCGUGGGGAGCAAACAGGAUUAGAUACCCUGGUAGUCCACGCCUUAAACUAUGGAUACUAAGUGUCGGCGGUUUACCGCCGGUGCCGCAGCUAACGCAGUAA